CAGAGGUGUUCUUUCUCAACUCAGCAGUAGCUGAGAGGCAGCUACUGCCUGGUUCAGGCUUCUGUGGGAAUCAAGUCUAGGACGCCCUGUAUUGGUUUUUGUUUGUCUUGUUUUCUGUGGUAUUAUUGUGAAUGUCAGGCUGUGGUCCUGAAUGUUGUCGAUGCUGAAGGGGAGAUGGGGGAGGCUGAAGUGGUGGCCCUGGCCCUGGGACCAGCUUUAGGGUUGGCUUUCAGGGGCUGCUGAGCUAUGUUCUGCUCCUGGGAGUGUGACCAGCAGGUUGAGGUGGCGCAGGAGACCCUGGUGGAGGUGCUGGGCCCUUAGGAGCCUCUUUUGAGCUUGGUGUAGGCAGCCAUGGUUGGAGUGGCUGGCCAUGAGCACUCUGGUAUCUGGGGCUGAAUUCGGCGUUCUGGUGAGAGACCUGGAUCCUCACUGACCCUACUAGGCAAGAAUUAGUCAGGUUGAUCUGGGAGUCUAUCUCUCACCUUCUCUGACCUUCCCUGUCUUCUUUCGUCACCAUGGCUGCUUUGCAUACUUACCUAAUGAUGCUUCAUGUUCCCCUGCAUCCCACCUGCCUGCCUCCAGUCUUUGGCAUGCCGGGUGGUCACAGGUCCUUUCUGGUCUUCCAUGCUUUCCCCUAUGCCCCCAAGACUCAACAGAAAUUCUGGUACCAUCCCAUGUCGCUUGCAGUAAGCCAGAGUGCCUCUUGUUAGUGAGAGAAAGUGAUUUCACUUUGAGACAUCAGUGGCCCAGCAUAGCCAGCUGUGAGUGCUGUGCUCACUCCCCUGCCCCAUGUAUGUUUUCGGGUGGCCCUGCCCCCAUUCCUUUCCCCCUUGUGCUGCUGGCCAUGAAUCUGUUCCAAGCUCUGGUGAGGAAGGAAUGCGCCCUCUCAGGGCUUCUCCUGCCCAAUCAGCCCACUGGUAGAGCCCUGCUCUCUGGGAACUCACCUCCUGCCCAUCACGGAAGGCUGCAAGCACUGCUGGUGCAGAGCCCCAGGCGGCAGUCUCCAAGUUCCUUAUGCCAAGGGCAGAGCAGUCCUCACUGGAGAUUACUGGCACAUGGACUUGACUCCAAGGAAGAAUGUCCUGGAAGCAGAUGGGAGGCCCUCUCAGCUGCUUUGGUGACAUAGACACUAGGUUCAUGGAAGCAGGCUGGCGUGAGGUUCCCUUCCAGGCAUCUGUUACAGGUUUCAGCUGCAAGUAAGUUGGUUUUCCAACUCUAUAGCCCCUCCCCACUUACUCUCGGCUUUGGUGUGUAUGUACAGCCCAGCUAAACUCUAUCUCCUCUGAACUCUGCUCCUCUGAAUUCUGCCGCACCCUCCCCACCACAGCCCCACAUGAGAGUGCGGCCCACGCUGAAAUUUGGGCCCUUCCCUGCGCAGUGGAGUCCCAAAAUGGGCCGUGGGCCUGCGGACAAAGGAACAAAGAUUGGGUGGGCUUUGGGCUAUGGACAGAAGUGGGCAAUGGGUGAGUGGGGCAAAAGAGCCAAGGCAAGCCCUGUGUGGGAUGGCAAAGGGAUGAGCUGCCACUGCGGUGGCCAGACAGCAACUUUGGCUAAAAAGGCUUUCACUUAACCCUUUACUUUCUGCUUUCCUAGAAAUAAAAAACUUAGGGGGAUGUACCCCUCCCUCCAUACAGAUAAGCCCAUGAAAACUGCAUUGAAGCUGAGCCUCCAACACACAGCAAUACCUGAAUCAUGCUUUUCAACCCCAAUUUUUUUUUGCUUCUUUUUCUA
rnacentral:lncRNA from 1 species